CAGGAUGAACGCUGGCGGCGUGCUUAACACAUGCAAGUCGAACGAAGCUCCUUGAACUGAAGAUUCGUCUGAUGGGAUAGGAAGACUUAGUGGCGGACGGGUGAGUAACGCGUGGGUAACCUGCCGUAUACAGGGGGAUAACAGUUAGAAAUGACUGCUAAUACCGCAUAAGCGCACAGUAAGGCAUCUUACAGUGUGAAAAACUCCGGUGGUAUACGAUGGACCCGCGUCUGAUUAGCCAGUUGGCAGGGUAACGGCCUACCAAAGCGACGAUCAGUAGCCGGCCUGAGAGGGUGAACGGCCACAUUGGGACUGAGACACGGCCCAAACUCCUACGGGAGGCAGCAGUGGGGAAUAUUGCACAAUGGGGGAAACCCUGAUGCAAGCGACGCCGCGUGAGUGAAGAAGCAUUUCGGUGCGUAAAGCUCUAUCAGCAGGGAAGAAAAUGACGGUACCUGACUAAGAAGCCCCGGCUAACUACGUGCCAGCCGCUGC
rnacentral:rRNA from 1 species